rnacentral:rRNA from 1 species
UUAGAGUUUGAUCCUGGCUCAGAACGAACGCUGGCGGCAGGCCUAACACAUGCAAGUCGAACGCUCCGCAAGGGGAGUGGCGCACGGGUGAGUAACGCGUGGGAAUCUACCUAUUAGUAAGGAAUAACAGUUGGAAACGACUGCUAAUACCUUAUACGCCCUACGGGGGAAAGAUUUAUCGCUAAUAGAUGAGCCCGCGUAAGAUUAGCUAGUUGGUGAGGUAAUGGCUCACCAAGGCUACGAUCUUUAGCUGGUCUGAGAGGAUGAUCAGCCACACUGGAACUGAGACACGGUCCAGACUCCUACGGGAGGCAGCAGUGGGGAAUAUUGGACAAUGGGCGCAAGCCUGAUCCAGCCAUGCCGCGUGAAUGAUGAAGGCCUUAGGGUUGUAAAGUUCUUUCGCCGCCGAGGAUAAUGACGGUAAGCGGAUAAGAAGCCCCGGCUAACUUCGUGCCAGCAGCCGCGGUAAUACGAAGGGGGCUAGCGUUGUUCGGAAUCACUGGGCGUAAAGCGCGCGUAGGCGGCCCAUCAAGUCAGAGGUGAAAGCCCAAAGCUCAACUUUGGAACUGCCUUUGAAACUGUUGGGCUGGAGUGUUGGAGGGGAUAGCGGAAUUCCAAGUGUAGAGGUGAAAUUCGUAGAUACUUGGAGGAACACCGGUGGCGAAGGCGGCUAUCUGGACAACUACUGACGCUGAGGCGCGAAAGCGUGGGGAUCAAACAGGAUUAGAUACCCUGGUAGUCCACGCUGUAAACGAUGAGUGCUAGCUGUUGGGCCCUUAGGGCUCAGUGGCGCUGCUAACGCAUUAAGCACUCCGCCUGGGGAGUACGGUCGCAAGAUUAAAACUCAAAGGAAUUGACGGGGACCCGCACAAGCGGUGGAGCAUGUGGUUUAAUUCGAGGCAACGCGAAGAACCUUACCAGCCCUUGACAUGGAUAGUAUGGAUUUCAGAGAUGAUUUCCUUCAGUUUGGCUGGCUAUCACACAGGUGCUGCACGGCUGUCGUCAGCUCGUGUCGUGAGAUGUUGGGUUAAGUCCCGCAACGAGCGCAACCCUCGUCCUUAGUUGCUAACAUUUAGUUGAGAACUCUAAGGAAACCGCCGGUGAUAAACCGGAGGAAGGUGGGGAUGACGUCAAGUCUUCAUGGCCCUUACGGGCUGGGCUACACACGUGCUACAAUGGCGGUGACAAUGGGCUGCGACCUCGCGAGGGGAAGCGAAUCCCAAAAAGCCGUCUCAGUUCGGAUUGCACUCUGCAACUCGAGUGCAUGAAGUUGGAAUCGCUAGUAAUCGUGGAUCAGCAUGCCACGGUGAAUACGUUCCCGGGUCUUGUACACACCGCCCGUCACACCAUGGGAGUUGGUUUUACCUUAAGCCGCCGGACUAACCCGUAAGGGAGGUAGGCGACCACGGUAGAAUCAGUGACUGGGGUGAAGUCGUAACAAGGUAA